ensembl:misc_RNA Metazoa_SRP Metazoan signal recognition particle RNA
GCCGGGGGCAGUGGCGCGUGCCUGUAGUCUCAGCUACUCGGGAGGCUGAGGUGGGAGGAUCGCUUGAGUCCAGGAGUUCUGGGCUGUAGUGCGCUAUGCCGAUCGGGUGUCCGCACUAAGUUCGGCAUCAAUAUGGUGACCUCCCCGGAGCAGGGGACCACCAGGUUGCCUAAAGAGGGGUGAUCCGGCCCAGGUCGGAAACGGAGCAGGUCAAAACUCGUGCUGAUCAGUAGUGGGAUCGUGCCUGUGAAUAGCCACUGCACUCCAGCCUGGGCAACAUAGUGAGACCCCAUCUCUU